GGCGAGGUCGCAUAGUGGACUAGUGCAGUCGCCUUGAAAGCGACCGAGGGGCAACUCUCCGUGGGUUCGAAUCCCACCCUCGCCG
rnacentral:tRNA from 2 species